rnacentral:lncRNA from 1 species
GAUAGACAUCUGGGCAAGUCAACAGGAAGGUGGAUAUCCAAAUCUCUCUCUUCGCAAUGAGUUUCCAGUUAGAUGGAGGAGAGAGUAAUAAAACACAGAGCUGAGAUUCCUGACUUCACAGAUCCCUGAGGAGAUGUUUACUAAAGGGAAUCUUCUGGUCACUGUUACCUUCCUCCGUACUUACCUGCCUCAUGGAGAACCCGAAAGGAAGAAGCUAUACGACUGGGGACACAUGUCUUAGAAGCACACUCAUUAGAUAAAGUGUCGCAUACUCUUUGAUAAGAAACUCCAGGCUGUCACCCAUCUGUUCUCUCAUCAAAGUAGUUUUGGGCCAGCAACUAUUUCAGACAUUUCUACAGUUUCAGAUGUCUCACUCUGCCUAUGACUGUAUGUUGUACUUGAGGACUGGACGCACAGGGUAAAGUGCAAAUAGCAAGCAUUCAGGUCCAACUCUCCUCCUUCUGGUUAACAAUAUGAAAGAAAGAGGUAGUAUCGGAAUUAUUUUAGUUCAAUGUAGCCAUUAUAAAAUGUGUAUAUAUUUUAAAACAUCAUGUGGUACAUGAUAAAUAUAUACAACUUUUAUUUUUCAAUAAAAAAUUAUAAAAAAAGUCAUCAAACCUGAUUUCUCAUACUACUUUUUUGGUAACACUCAUCACACCAAAGACUUAUUAUUUUAAAAUGUUAUUUUUCAUAAUUAAUUUCUUAUUAAUUUUAUAGGCUAGAUUUUAAUUGUUAUGUCUAAAUAGUAGUGUCUGGUACGUGGUAGAUAAUCAAUGUGACUUGAAUAAAUGAAUAAGUCUGUUAACGACAUACUUCUCAUCACUGUAACUUAUUUUUGGUUUAGGACUGAUAAAACAUUUUUUCUCUCACCCCAUAUUGCUAAAGAUCAAAUCCUUCUUCUUUAAGAUGCUACCAUACCAUUGUUCCAUUCAUCAACGCCAAAUCAUUCCUCGGGCCUGAGAGGAGCUGCCAUCCUUCACUUCGUCUUUGGGUCACUUCCAACCUCUGUUCUCUGUGUGUCUCUUCUGGACUUCCUGGGAGAAUAGCCUCUCUCAUGAUACUCACUUUCUUCCACAUCUUCAAUCUCUGCUUCAUUGAUAGAUUAUGCUACUCAAUAUAGAAACAACAUCUUUUUUAUUUUUUAAUGAUAAACAUUCUCCCCCUCAAUCUUUUAACCUACUAAUGCAGGCAAUCUAAUCUAAAGAAUAGCCUGCAAUGCCUCCUUUCAUCAUUUCCCAUUUAAUCCAGCUUUCUGGCUGAGUAAUUUUGCAGAAAGCCCUUUCUCCCAUGUCACAGAUGGAACUUUGCAGUGGCCUAUUCUGAUAAACAUGUGGCAGUUUACAUGCUAUUUGCAUUUGAAGCUGUUUAUCACUCCCUCCUUCUGAGUACUUUCUUCUUGGUGGGCUUUUAUGAUAGUAAUUGCUAUCCUACUGCUGAGUUUCUGACCACUGCUUGUCAGACACUUUAUUAUGCUCCCUUUCCUUUGCCCAUACUUGCAAAGUUAGAUUUCCACAUAUGCCUUUCCCGUCUUCUUAUUCCAUGAGAUUUAUCUAAGUGAUUUCAUCCAUUGCUAUGGGUUCAACUGCUGCUAAUAUGUUCUUUACUCCCAACUCUCUUUCUACAGCUUCACAUAUUUAACUGCCUUUUAGGGAAUCACCAAAAGGCAAUUCCAUCUUAACAUACACAAAACUGAACUUAUGAUCCUUAAGUAUGAGGCCAGUUCUUUCUUAUGCAUUUUCUAAAUCAGUGAGUGAUACUAUCUCUUGUCCUGUUGUCCUGGGCAGAAUUGCAGGAGGUGACCGCUUUCUCUACCCUCCCUAUAAAAAUUACCAUCUCUCGUUUACCAACCUCCCAAUACCCCAAUCAUUAGUAUCUUUUUAAGAAAUGAUUUUCUGUUGUUUAACAUUUUUUAUAUGCUAUUACCUAUAUGGUUUUCCUCCUGAAAUGGGAUAUUGGGUAAGAGGGUACCAGAUGGAGGUCACAUAGACCUACAGUUUAUUCAAAGGGGACAUCUAUGGAGCAAAGGCAAAAUGGAGAACCCAGUGCAGCCAAACAGCUACUCAAAGGUCUGAGCAGAGAUACAGAAAUGACACAGGAGAUAACAGAAAGAGAGAGACAUAUCAAGUGGGUUUUGAGUGUAGGCAAAACCACAUUUACCCGUAGCUCUGGAGAACCCACUGGCACUGUUUUGAGACUGUUGCAGCCUGCAAGGGAGGGCGGACACUGAGUUCAGACACACACACCCUCCGACCAGCUCCCAAAUGUCUGCUGACGUUUACAACUUUGCUUCCUGCUUUCCUACCUGGUCUUAGCCUUUUGAUACACACCCUCCCACUGCUAUCAGAGUAAGAUUUGAGCUAAGUACAUAAUCUGGCCCUGCCAGAUUAUGACAUUAGUUGGAGAAUAGAUAGGUCAAUGGGACCUGAGAUACAUUUUAGAAAAAUAUUAAUAUGUAUGCCUUAUGUAUAGUGUGCAGCUGGCAUUUUAAACACGUGGAAAAUGAUGAAAAAUUUAAUAAACCAUGAGAGGAAAUUGGAUAAAUAUUUCCGAUACACACACACAUCAGAUUCCCUUUUUUAUGUCACAUGCAAAACUAAAAUAAUAUUUGAAUGGCUUAAUCAGUGAAAUAUUUUUCUAAAUUAACUAACAUACCGGAAAAUAUUUGACUUAUCUCAAACCAAAUAUGUAUUUUUAUUGUAUAGGGUUUUUUCUUUUUUAAAAAAUUUCAGCUUGCAAUUUAGAUAUAGGAGGUACAUGGGCAGAUUUGUUACAAUGGACUAUUGCAUGAUGCUGUGGUUUGAAGUACGUUUCCCAUCACCCUGGUAGUGAGCAUAGUUCCUGAUAGGUAGUCUUUUUUAACCUAACCUCCCUCCCUCCCUCCCUCCACCGUCUAGUAGUCCACAGUGUCUAUUGUGUCUCAUAUUUAUGUCCAUACAUGCUCAAUGCUUAGCUUCCAUUUAUAAGUGAGAAUAUGUGGUAUUUGGUUUUCUGUUUCUGCAUUCAUUUGCUUAGAUCGCCCCAGCUCCAUCUAUGUUGCUGCAAAGAAUGUGAUUUUAUUCUUUUUUAUGGCGUAUAGUAUUUCAUGGUGUUUAUGUACCACAUUUUCUUUGUCCAAUUUCCUACUGAUGGUCGCCUGUGUGGAUUCCAUGUCUUUGCUAUUGUGAAUAGUGAUGCAGUGGACAUCUGAGUGUAAAUGUGUUUUUGGCAGAAUGAUUUAUUUUCUUUUGAGUGUAUACCCAGUAAUGGGAUUGCUGAGUCAAAUGGUAGCUUUGUUUUAAGUUUUGAGAAAUCUCCAGACUGCUUCCUCAGUGGAUUGGUCUAAUUUACAUUCCCACUAACAGCGUAUAAGCUUUCCCUUUUCUCUGCAAUGUUGCCAGCAUCUGUUUUUUUGACUUUUUAUAAUAGCCAUUCUGACUGGUAUGAGAUGGUAUCUCAUUGUGGUUUUGAUUUGGAUUUCUCUGAUGAUUAGCGAUGCUGAGCGUUUUUUCACACAUUUGAUGUAUGUCUUCUUUGAGAAAUGUCUGUUCAUGUCUUUGCCCAUCUUUUAAUGGGGUUAAUUGGGUUUUGUUUGUUCAACUGUUUAAGUUCCCUAUAGAUUCUGGAUAUUAGGCCUUUGUCAGGUGCAUACUUUGCGAAUAUCUCCUCCCAUUCCCUAGACUGCCUGUUUACUGUGCUGAUUUUUACUCUCUGUUUAUUUUGCUAUGUAAAAGUUCUGGAGUUUAAUUAGGUCCCACUUGUCCCGUUUUUGUUUUUGUUGCAAGUGCUUUUGGGGACUUAGCUAAAAAUUAUUUGCCAAGGCUGAUGUCCAGAAGAAUGUUUCCUAGGUUGCCUUCCAGAAUUUUUAUAGUUUGAGGUCUUACAUUUAAAUCUUUAAUGUAUUUUCAGUUAAUUUUUGUAUGAGGUGAAACGGAGGGGUCCAGUUUCAUUCUGCUACAUAUGGCUAGCCAGUUAUCCCAGCUGUGUUUAUUGAAUAGGGAGUUCUUUCCCAUUGCUUGUUUUUGUUGGCCUUGUCAAAGAUCAGAUGGUUGUUGGUAUGUAGCUUUAUUUGUUUGUUUUCUAUUCUUUUGCAUUGGUCUAUGUGUCUGUUUCUGUAACAGCACCAUGCUGUUUUGGUUACUGUGGCUUUAUAGUAUAGUAUGAGGUUGGAAAGAGUGAUGCCUCUGGCAUUGUUCUUUUUGCUUAGGCUUUCUUUGGCUGUUCAGGCUCUUUUUGGUUCAAUACAAAUUUUAGAGUAAUUUUCUAAUUUUAGUAAAUUUUCUAAAGUAAAUGUUCUAAUCCUGUGAAGAAUGACGUUGGUAAUUUGAUAGGUAUAGCAUUGAAUCUGUAAAGUGCUUUGAGCAAUACGGCCAUUUUUACAAUAGUGGUUUUGGUACUGAAACACCAGGUGCUCAGUCUAGGUCCUGCUGCUUGCUGCACAGAAAGCCAAUGACUGAGACAGCAAGUAUUGCCAAGGAAGAAGCUUUAAUCCGGUGCUGCAGCAGAGGAGGUGGGAACUCAGUCUCAAAUCCAUCUCUCUGACCUACUAAAACCAGGGAUUUAUAUAACAAGGAAGGAAUGUAACAUUGUGUAAGAAAACAGGAACUAGGGAGGUGUCAGGAAGCAAUCGCGAUGAAUGAGGGGUACAACAUCUCAUUGUCUGGAUGUGAUGAUCUACUGAGUUUCAGUUCUUUGACACUUUUUGUGAGAGGCCUGAAGGUCAUUUCCUCAGGAAGGAACUCAGAUAAAACAAAUAUAAGUUUCAAGCUUUAAGACCAGAAGGGUCAAUUUCUAUGUUUAUUAAAAAGAAAAAAACUGUUAGACUGGGCGUGGUGGCUCAUGCCUGUAAUCCCAGCACUUUGGGAGGCUGAGGCGGGCAGAUCACGAGGUCAAGAGAUUGAGACCAUCCUGGCCAACAUGGUGAAGCAUCAUGUCUACUAAAAAUACAAAAAUUAGCCAGGCAUGGUGGCACAUGCCUGUAAUCCCAGCUACUUGGGAGGCUGAGGCAGGAGAAUUGCUUGAACCUGGGAGGCGGAGGGUGCAGUGAACUGAGAUUGCACCACUGCACUCCAGCCUGGUGACAGAGCGAUACUCCAUCUCAAAAACAAAAACCAAAAACCAAAAAAACAAAAAAAAAACCAAACACCAGAAUAAAACUGUCUAUGGGACAAUUGGGUCAGCUUUAGUUUUUCCAAUCCUUGAGCAUGGGAUAUUUUUCCAUUUAUUUGUGUCGUCUCAUCUCUUAUUUCUUUCAGCAGUGUUUUGUGCUUCUCGUAGAGAUCGUUCAUCUCCUUGGUUAGCUGUAUGCCUAUAGGUAUUUUAUUUUCUUUGUGGCUGUUGUAAGUGGG